UUAUCUCUGUAGAGUCUGCAUAUCAAUAAGCGGAGGAAAAGAAACUAACUAAGGAUUCCCUUAGUAACGGCGAGUGAAGCGGGAAGAGCUCAAAUUUGAAAUCUUCAAGGUUUUACCUUGACGAAUUGUAGUUUAAAGAAGUGUUUUCUGUUGGAUGUUUUGGUAAAAGUUCUUUGGAAUAGGACAUCAUAGAGGGUGAGAAUCCCGUAUUUGACCAUUAUUUCCAGCUUUGUGAUACACUUUCGAAGAGUCGGAUUGUUUGGGAAUGCAGUCCAAAAUGGGUGGUAAAUUUCAUCUAAAGCUAAAUAUUGGCGAGAGACCGAUAGCGAACAAGUACCGUGAGGGAAAGAUGAAAAGAACUUUGAAAAGAGAGUUAAACAGUACGUGAAAUUGUCAAAAGGGAAGCGUUUGACACCAGUGUUGUUUUCUCGAAAAUCAAUUAAAAAAGGCAGGAUUUUGUGUUGUAUUGACUUUAUCAGCUUUCUGCACUCUUUUCUUGUCUUUUUUAAUGCACUUUUCGUUUAACAAGUCAACAUCAAUUUCUUUUGUUGUAAAAGGGUCAUUGGAAGGUGGCUUUCUUUUCGGAGAAAGUGUUUAUAGCCUUUGGCCUCUGCAAUCGGAGAGAUUGAGGUCUGCAGCGUAGAUCCUUCGGGGUUAGAUACAUUUGUGCUAAGUUAUAGCCUUUCAUAGACAACUUGUUGACUAUGAUCAGUCAUGUAGCUUACUCGCUUAUGCUAUUUUACCUACGCUUAGGAUGUUGAUCUGUAGUGCGUGCGC
rnacentral:rRNA from 1 species